GGGCCGGUAGCUCAGUUGGUAGAGCGUCGCGUUCGCAAUGCGAAGGUCGUGGGUUCGACUCCCAUCCGGUCCA
rnacentral:tRNA from 1 species